AGUGAACGCUGGCGGCAGGCCUAAUACAUGCAAGUCGAACGGCAGCACAGCAGAGCUUGCUCUGUGGGUGGCGAGUGGCGGACGGGUGAGGAAUACGUGGGAAUCUGCCCAGUCGUGGGGGAUAACGUAGGGAAACUUACGCUAAUACCGCAUGCGCCCUUCGGGGGAAAGCCGGGGACCUUCGGGCCUGGCGCGAUUGGAUGAGCCCACGUCGGAUUAGCUAGUUGGCGGGGUAAAGGCCCACCAAGGCGACGAUCCGUAGCUGGUCUGAGAGGAUGAUCAGCCACACUGGAACUGAGACACGGUCCAGACUCCUACGGGAGGCAGCAGUAGGGAAUAUUGGGACAAUGGGGCGCAAGCCUGAUCCAGCCAUGCCGCGUGAGUGAAGAAGGCCCUCGGGUUGUAAAGCUCUUUGUCCGGAAAGAAAGCGCCGGGUUAAUACCCUGGUGUCCUGACGGUACCGGAAGAUAAGCACCGGCUAACUUCGUGCCAGCA
rnacentral:rRNA from 1 species